CCCUUAGAUGUUCUGGGCCGCACGCGCGCUACACUGAUUCAUGCAACGAGUUUUGUCCUUGGCUGAAAGGCCUGGGUAAUCUUUGAACGUGAAUCGUGCUGGGGAUAGAUGAUUGCAAUUAUUCAUCUUCAACGAGGAAUUCCUAGUAAACGCAAGUCAUCAGCUUGCAUUGAUUACGUCCCUGCCCUUUGUACACACCGCCCGUCGCACCUACCGAUUGAAUGAUUUAGUGAGGACUUCGGACUGGGACCGAUGCGGCUUUCGGGCUGCGUCGGUAUUCUGGAAAGAUGUCCAAACUGUAUCAUUUAGAGGAAGUAAAAGUCGUAACA
rnacentral:rRNA from 1 species